rnacentral:rRNA from 1 species
GGAGUUUGGUCCGUGUCUCAGUACCAAUGUGGGGGACCUUCCUCUCAGAACCCCUACUGAUCGUUGCCUCGGUGGGCCGUUACCCCGCCGACAAGCUAAUCAGACGCAUCCCCAUCCCGCAGCGAUCAAUCUUUGCUCCUCAUCUGAUGCCAUCAAAGGAGAACAUAGGGUAUUAAUCCGACUUUCGCCGGGCUAUGCCCUACUGCGGGGAAGGUUGGAUACGCGUUACUCACCCGUGCGCCGGUCGCCAUCAAAGUCAGCAAGCUGACUUCAUGCUGCCCCUCGACUUGCAUGUGUUAAGCCUGUAGCUAGCGUUCAUC